rnacentral:rRNA from 1 species
CCAGACUCCUACGGGAGGCAGCAGUGGGGAAUAUUGCACAAUGGGGGGAACCCUGAUGCAGCGACGCCGCGUGAGUGAAGAAGUAUUUCGGUAUGUAAAGCUCUAUCAGCAGGGAAGAAAAUGACGGUACCUGACUAAGAAGCCCCGGCUAACUACGUGCCAGCAGCCGCGGUAAUACGUAGGGGGCAAGCGUUAUCCGGAUUUACUGGGUGUAAAGGGAGCGUAGACGGUUAUGCAAGUCAGAUGUGAAAUCCACGGGCUCAACCCGUGAACUGCAUUUGAAACUGUUUCCCUUGAGUGUCGGAGAGGUAAUCGGAAUUCCUUGUGUAGCGGUGAGAUGCGUAGAUAUAAGGAAGAACACCAGUGGCGAAGGCGGAUUACUGGACGAUAACUGACGGUGAGGCGCGAAAGCGUGGGGAGCAAACAGGAUUAGAUACCCUGGUAAU